rfam:Pediculus humanus corporis strain TSDA 1103172096557, whole genome shotgun sequence.
GCCAACGGCCAUAGCGUGCUGGUUCACACCGGUUCCUGUACGAUCACCGAAGUUAAGCAGCAUCGGGCGUGGUGCAAACUUGGAUGGGUGACCGUCUGAGAACGCCACGUGCUGUUGGCU